AUUCUCUGAAUAAAUUAAUAAAAUACGAAUCAACGGGCUAGAACAUGUGUUUUAACUGUAGAUGGGCCUAAUUCGGCCGCUAAUUUACAGUCUAACCCGACCCAUUGAUCGGCCCGUCAGUCGUGACCAUUGUUCUUCGGCCUCAUAGCCUAAGCCUCAUACACAAGCAAACUCCUUCAAGCUUUCCCAGUACAAAUUCAAAAUCUUCCAAACGCUUCCUCAAAUUCAUCGAAUCAUUCAUAAAUUUUCAACCUUUCAAGCUUCUUAGAGAGAGAGAGAGAGAGAGAGAGAGAGAGAGAGAGAUGAGGCUACUGAACUACUUGGGGCAAUGGAGAAGCGUAGCAAAGGAAGCGAAGGAUCUCACAGUAACUGUAGCGAAGUUCAUGGGUUUGCUCCACGUCACCGACGCCUACCUCUGCUCCUCCACUCUUGUCUACGGUCCUAGUAUGCUCCCUACCUUGAACAUUUCUGGCGAUGUGCUCCUGUCCGAACACGUGUCCCAUCGCUUUGGGAAGGUGGGUGCCGGAGAUUUGGUCCUGGUUCGGUCUCCGAAUGACCCUCGAAAGAUUGUGACCAAGCGUAUUUUGGGCAUGGAGGGUGAUCAAGUCACCUUCUUUGUCGAUCCCAAGCACAGUGACAGGUCUCGGACUACUGUGGUGCCUAAGGGGCAUGUUUGGAUUCAGGGGGAUAACAUCUAUUCCUCCUUUGAUUCUCGAACAUAUGGAGCUGUACCUUAUGGUCUUAUUCAAGGCAAAGUGUUUUGCAGGGUGUGGCCACCUGAUGGCUUUGGAUCAUUGGAUUGAUGAGCAUAAAGAGGAUUAUAACAUUAAGGUUCAAACUGCUUACUGGGGUAACAAACUCUUGAAGCUCUGCUGGAAUGUAUCAAGUCCAAAAGAAAAUUCUUUCUUGGUGUAUAAGAUGAUUGACGCAAGGUCUGAGAAGCUCAAAUUUGUAUAUAUCCCAAAUGGAAGUGCAUGCCAGAUAUGGUUGUAAGUGACAUGCCUAGAAGUCUCAUGUAUAAAUAGAAUGGCAGUUGCCAUAGUCAUUGAUAUUUUUUUUGACAAAAGAGGAUUGAUGGUUUAUCUUAUCUAACAUACGUGACAAAAGAGGCUAAAACUUGCCUAUCAAAAGAAAAUGAGUACUUGUACUAUGCAAUUUCAAUUUCAAUCGGAAUCUGACAUAGGAUAUUCUAUCUGUAUUCAAAUU